AUUGAACGCUGGCGGCAUGCCUUACACAUGUAAGUCGAACGGCAGCACGGGAGCAAUCCUGGUGGCGAGUGGCGAACGGGUGAGUAAUAUAUCGGAACGUGCCCAGUCGUGGGGGAUAACGUAGCGAAAGCUACGCUAAUACCGCAUACGAUCUACGGAUGAAAGCGGGGGAGUCGCAAGACCUCGCGCGAUUGGAGCGGCCGAUAUCAGAUUAGGUAGUUGGUGAGGUAAAGGCUCACCAAGCCGACGAUCUGUAGCUGGUCUGAGAGGACGACCAGCCACACUGGGACUGAGACACGGCCCAGACUCCUACGGGAGGCAGCAGUGGGGGAAUUUUGGUACG
rnacentral:rRNA from 1 species